rnacentral:lncRNA from 1 species
GGAGCAUUCUGUCUUUUGUUUUAAGGACAGGUCUUCUUUUGGGAUGAUUUGAUUGGGGGUGCACAGUAGACCUACAUUGAUCGCAGUGCUUGGGCUGUACAGGCUCCUCCCUUUCUACUAACUAACUAACUAACUGGGGAAUGUUAAAAAGGGGAUCCACUGCUUACAUUAAAGAGAACAGACAGGAGAAAGAAAAUGUAAUAGCUUUUCCCACUGACAGGUUUAAAACCACCAUCUCAUUCCUCCAACUGCACUGCUCCAACAAGGAAUUGGAUCCCACCUACAAGAAGAGAGGUGUUUCCACAUUGAGGCAUCAGUUAAUGAUGAAAGUGGUGCACCAUUCUUUGGAGUAGAUCUCCAGAAACCAUGGACUGGUCAUUGAAUAUAAAUAGAUCCCCAGAUGGGCAAAGAUCAGAUUGAGAAUUUUGAACUGUGAACUAUCAGUGCUGUGUAUCCAAAUUUAUAAAGACCCAAGACCCACUGAGUAUCUUCUAUUCAA